UGGUGCUUCACUAUCAUCUUCUAAGAGAAUGCCUCUCUUCUUUGUUGGGGUUUCUCCUGUUCUAAUCAUGCUGUUAAUUUCCUUUAGCCUCUGGGGAGAGGUGGAAAGAAAAAAUUCUCAUUAUUGCGGCAACAAAAAUCCCAAUGUUUUUACUAGUCCCAUUACUGCAGGCUUACAAAUGCCUUAUUUUUGGAGCUGUGUACUAUGGAGUGCUUUCUAUAACAAACUAACCCUUUUAACCAUUGUGUUGGUCCCAUUACUGUAUUCCAGUCUUUCUCAAGCAAGCCUUUUGUGUAAGUUUUUUGAUGCUCUGCAGGUGCACGAGGAGCUGAAAGGCCUUCCACCUGUAAUUAUGGCAUGCUAUCUUGCACCGUAGGUGCAGAAUUCCUAUCCUGAAUGAAGACGCUGCUUGGAGAAGGCUUCUACUUCAUUGUGGGUGACUGGAGAUGACAGGAUUCAGCCUGUUCCAUGUUCACUUGGUGAGUUCUGCUGGCUGCUGCUAUCACUGCUGCCAGACUGGCGGCGGCGUCUCCUGCCUUUUAUCAGGACACUCCGGUACACCUGCAGGGAGACAAGAGCAUCACAGUGAAACCUUAAAGAUGGAUACGUUCAAGCAGCUGUUAGCCACAGAUGUAAAUCUUCUCAACUAGUGACAGCUGUCCUGUUCAUCUACUCUGACAGUGAGAAAUUUCUGCACAGGAAACCAACUCUUCAGGUAUGGUCACAGUUUGCCCAUUAUUGGCUGUUACAGUGGCGGUUGCUACUGUAACCAAUGUCUGGCCGGGCACUGGAGUUACUGACA